rnacentral:rRNA from 1 species
UUUAUGGAGAGUUUGAUCCUGGCUCAGGAUGAACGCUGGCGGCGUGCCUAAUACAUGCAAGUCGAGCGAACAGAUAAGGAGCUUGCUCCUUUGACGUUAGCGGCGGACGGGUGAGUAACACGUGGGUAACCUACCUAUAAGACUGGAAUAACUCCGGGAAACCGGGGCUAAUGCCGGAUAACAUGUUGAACCGCAUGGUUCUACAGUGAAAGACGGUCUUGCUGUCACUUAUAGAUGGACCCGCGCCGUAUUAGCUAGUUGGUGGGGUAACGGCCUACCAAGGCGACGAUACGUAGCCGACCUGAGAGGGUGAUCGGCCACACUGGAACUGAGACACGGUCCAGACUCCUACGGGAGGCAGCAGUAGGGAAUCUUCCGCAAUGGGCGAAAGCCUGACGGAGCAACGCCGCGUGAGUGAUGAAGGUCUUCGGAUCGUAAAGCUCUGUUGUUAGGGAAGAACAAAUGUGUAAGUAACUGUGCACAUCUUGACGGUACCUAACCAGAAAGCCACGGCUAACUACGUGCCAGCAGCCGCGGUAAUACGUAGGUGGCAAGCGUUAUCCGGAAUUAUUGGGCGUAAAGCGCGCGU